UGGUUUGUCGCGUUGUUCGUGAAAUCUCACGGCUUAACUGUGAGCGUGCGGGCGAUACGGGCAGACUUGAGUACUGCAGGGGAGACUGGAAUUCCUGGUGUAGCGGUGGAAUGCGCAGAUAUCAGGAGGAACACCGGUGGCGAAGGCGGGUCUCUGGGCAGUAACUGACGCUGAGGAGCGAAAGCGUGGGGAGCGAACAGGAUUAGAUACCCUGGUAGUCCACGCCGUAAACGGUGGGUACUAGGUGUGGGUUUCCUUCCUUGGGAUCCGUGCCGUAGCUAACGCAUUAAGUACCCCGCCUGGGGAGUACGGCCGCAAGGCUAAAACUCAAAGAAAUUGACGGGGGCCCGCACAAGCGGCGGAGCAUGUGGAUUAAUUCGAUGCAACGCGAAGAACCUUACCUGGGUUUGACAUGCACAGGACGCCGGCAGAGAUGUCGGUUCCCUUGUGGCCUGUGUGCAGGUGGUGCAUGGCUGUCGUCAGCUCGUGUCGUGAGAUGUUGGGUUAAGUCCCGCAACGAGCGCAACCCUUGUCUCAUGUUGCCAGCGGGUAAUGCCGGGGACUCGUGAGAGACUGCCGGGGUCAACUCGGAGGAAGGUGGGGAUGACGUCAAGUCAUCAUGCCCCUUAUGUCCAGGGCUUCACACAUGCUACAAUGGCCGGUACAAAGGGCUGCGAUGCCGCGAGGUUAAGCGAAUCCUUUUAAAGCCGGUCUCGGUUCGGAUCGGGGUCUGCAACUCGACCCCGUGAAGUCGGAGUC
rnacentral:rRNA from 1 species